AGUAAGUGCACAGAAGCUGAAAUGGGUUCACGUCUUUGUGAUUACUAUAAGUAGAAAACCUGACGUCACCCACCUCCAAGCGAUCUAGGCGUAAGCGGUAAUGGUGCACAUCUUUAUGCCCUCUAAUAGUAAGCCAUCUCCCAGCACAUGGUAUCUCCGGCUUCCACCCCGGGUUAGGCUUCCUUGGGUAAGGACCUGGCAAAUGCUCCAAAAUCCAUCCCUGCAACAAAAUAAAUAAUACACAAAAUUAAUUAUUCGAGUUAAAUAUUCAAUAAAUCUAAAACAUUAUAAAAUAAUCUAACAUGAUAAUAAAAUUUAUAAAAUAAAUUCAUAAAGAAAUUAAGAUAAAUAUUAAAUUAUUACGAUAAAAAGAGUCAUACAACCAGCCAUCGUUAUGUUAUUUAGGAUAUCAGAAUCAUCCAGAUAAUCGUACAUGUAAACUAAGGGCAUCCCUUCCCAUGACCACUU
rnacentral:lncRNA from 1 species